UUUCGGGGGGCUUCGCCUGCCCUGCAUGGGAAAAUCUAGUCGCGUAUGCCAAGAUGCUAAGUUCGAAAUUGAGGAGUCUACUUCGCUGAACAGCACGCUCCUCCUCCCUCUCCUCCUCCUCCCUCUCCUCCUCUUUAGGGGUGUAGUCACUGCAAAGUGGAGGGAGCGCUCAGUCAAAGCACUCGCUGACGCUCUCUCUCUCUCUCUCUCUCUCUCUCUCUCCCGCACCCCCCAUCUCUCGCGUUAACUAACAUUCUUUCAUUUCUCUUUUAUAUAUAUAUUUGUUUCGGUCUUCACUCGCUCCCUCCCCAAGUGGAACAAUGCUAAGGCUCAUUUCGGAUGGCGACAGUCUUGUCAACUUUUUGUUCCCCUCAUUGUAUGUUUCCCCCCCCCCCCUGCUCACCCCACUCGACUGCUUUCAAGAUAGAGCCACGACCAGGAAUUAUUUUUAUUAACCUAUUUUUUUUCAUCACUUCUCUCAAUCGUUUAUAUAUCGUUUUGUACUUUAUGUGCGUUUUGCGCGCCGAAAACGAGCAUUUCAGCAUGAAAAUCUGCAAAGGGGGCUUUUCAUCCAUCCAUUCAGGUGGAUCUUUUUUUACAGCGUUGAAUGGCUGCACGAUACCUUUGCUUGUAGGGAAGCGAACGUGUGUGUCUUUGUGAGCGCGUGGCAGUAAUUGCAAAGGUGCGUGUACGGGUGUGUGAGAGCGGUGGAUCGCAUUCCAAAAACUUGCGGACAUUCGUUGAGUCAAUUUUUUUUACCCUUUGAUUUUUGUUGCACUUUUUAAAAUACGUCUUAUGUGUUUUUAUUUUGUUCAAUAUUUUUUCGAAUUUUUAUAUUUGCAUUUAAACUGUUUUUCUUAGUCAAUCGUUAGGUUGGAACGAGUGUAUUACAUAUUUUCAUAUUUUUAUUUCAGGAUUAUUUUAUAUUGUCAUGAUGCAUUAUUUUAUAUUAUCGCUAUGUUCACUUUUACCUUCAUUUUAAGUUGAUUUAUUUUGUGUUAGACUGGCCACGCGUUUUUAUUAUUAUACUUUGAUUAAUAUAGUUUUACAUUUGUAUAUUUUUAAUAUUAUUAUUAUUGUAUAUUGUCAUGGUCCAUUAAUUAGUUCAGUCGAAUUAGCAGCCAAAAUGUGUAAUAAAUAUUUUUAAAACGGUAUUAUCUUUUAUGUAAUAUCAUUAUUAUCAAAUAUUAUUAUUCAAAGCAGUGUAUUUUCGGGGUGUGUGUGUGUGUGUGUGUGUGUGUGUGUGUGUGUGGUUUGCCUCUAUGCCGUCUAGUUCAAGUCCUUGUUAAGCCGAAAGGGAUCGCUGUAGGCGCUGCUAAAGAGCGUGUGCGCGCGCCUGGUGAUCACGUGGUUUUGGGGUGGGGGGGGGGGGAGAGAGAGAGAGAGAGAGAGAGAGAGAGAGAGAACACAAGGCAAAAAAAAGAGGAAAAGAGUGAUGACGCUGGGACAGAGAGGAGUGGGAACAGCCUUUAAAAAAAGCAAGAAAAAGAGCAGAGAGAGAGGAGCAGCUGUGCAGCAUCAUGAUGCGGAGACCACUUCAGCACUUAUCGGAAUGGAACUUUUUCUUGAUUCUUACAUUUUCAAGCACAAAUGAUAAUUGCAUUGAUAAUGAUAGAGUUGGGAGUCGUUGUGCAGACACACAGAUGCACGAGGAGGAUCUCACCUGACACAUGCACAUGAAAAACAUCUAUCAUGCCAAAUAUGUAUGGGUUUUCUUAUCUCCUGAAUGUAAACAGGGGGAUAAAAGGGUUGAAUCAGUAAAGUAUACAUACAGAAGUGUAUGACUCCCCUUCCAAUGAAAAACUUAUUUUCUGAUCUUUUUUUCCUUUACUGAACUCGAUGAAGACGUAUGGCGCUCAUCUGAUGGCGCCGCCCACCCUCAUGGGGCUGAAUGGCAGGCUGCUGGAUGCACUAAGUGAUGAAAUGAUGACCCCAUUAUGAGAAGCGGCUCCAAAAUGAGGGGGUAUCGGGCAAAGAUUGCGGACCGCCGCCGUCAUUCUCCUCCUCCCCCUGCUCGCUAUGCUGCACACAUGAUGAUUGAUUCGCUGGAGACGGAUCACAGGAAGCAGCUAUUGAUUUUUUUCCUCCCUGUCUAUAGUGUUUUACGAAGAAAAUACCUAUUUACACUUGGGUGUUAUCCAGACUUACUCAGUAUCCACUUUUUUGGAAGGAUAAAGGAUCUAAUUGUCCUUCCUUGGUGACGUGACAAAUGACCUGUAAUAUUAUUUCAGUAGGGAGUCAAUAAGCAGGCUCACUAAAUGAAUAUUGAUUGGUUAAAAUGAAGCCUGUGUGUGAAUGGAAGCUCUUUCCCGGGGCCUUGCAGUCAGCAUCCGAACAUGAUGAUGCUAGACGUAUGCACUACGGGGACAGAAUACAGUGAAAAGUCAAACAGGGGCAUAUUUCAAAACAAAUAUUUCCUUAUAAGAAAUCAUGUAAACCAAAUCAUCCAUUCCAGGGUCAUAGUGUCCCCAUCAUAAAACCUUGACUAACCGUACAAUUAAGCAACAUUUUAACAUUCUUAAUUUUAUUAUGCAGCUCACGUUACUACCGCACACUACAUUUCUCUAUUCUGUCUCGAAUCCCGUGGUUACCUGAAGCUAAAGUAUAAGAAGCAUCAUUCGUUACGCGCUACGCUGUUUAUAACUAGAUAAAUAAACUGCUACCACACACUA